rnacentral:tRNA from 2 species
GCACCGGUAUGUAAAACGGGAAAGGCGGCCGGACCCUCGAUCCGGUGCGUGCGGGUUCGAGUCCCGCCCAGUGCGCCA